AGAAGAGGCCACCUGACACCCAGCAUCCCUGCUCAGGAAGGCAGGCAGUUUUGUAAUGCCCUUUAGAGAUCUUGGUGCAUUUAAAAACAUCCUGCUCUACUUAGUUUUUGUUAACCGGAUUAUUCAGUUAUAGGGAAUGAUUCAUUCUCUAAUGAAAAGAGCAGAAGGGUUGUGGGUGGGUUGCAUUAUAGGAAGUGAGAACAUCCCCGAGCAAGACCAACAAUUGCUGAAUAAACACAAACCCCCUUGAGAAUCACGCCGACAGGUGCUAUCUCUUCACCUGGGGAUUGCAAAGGAAGUGAGAACAUCCCCGAGCAAGACCAAAAAUUGCUGAAUAAACACAAACCCCCUUGAGAAUCACGCCAAGAGGUGCUGCCUCUUCACCUGGGGAUUGCAAAGCCUCACCGCCAUGGACAGCGUGCCCCUCAUCUGUGACUACGGCUCUGGCUUCAGCAAGGUGGGAUUUGCAGGAAUGGAAAGCCCAAUGGGCAUGUUCCCCACUGUCCUCGGGAAACUUCGGCACGAUAAUGUAUUGGUGGGGAUGGAAGAGGAAGACUGGUUCAUUGGAGAGGAGGUUCAGAAAAAAUGAGGGAAACUCAACCUGCAAUACCCCAUUUCUCGGGCAAUAACAACCAACUGGGACAACAUGGAGAAGAUUUGGCACCACUCCUUCUACCAGGUGCUCCACGUCGCCCCAGAGCAGUACCCCAUGUUGGUGACGGAGCCGUCUUUGAACCCAACACCCAGCAAAGAGAAAGUCACACAGGUGCUGUUUGAGAUUUUCAACAUACCUGCCCUGUAUUUAGCUAACCGAGGAGUCCUUUCUCUGUACGCCUCUGGCCAGACCUUCGGCAUGACUGUUGAAUCUGGAGAAGGAAUGACACACUUCGUGCCCAUCGCUGAUGGCUGUCCUUUGCAUCAGUCAACCUUCCAGGUGGACAUAGCGGGCCAGGACCUAACCUCGUACCUCCUGCAACUGUUGAAAGACAAUGUGCAAUUAUUGGUGGGCACAGGGGAUCGAGAGUACAUCCGGGACAUGAAGGAGAAAUGCUGCUAUGUGGCUUUGGACUUUGACAAGGAAAAGAUGAAAACUGAUUCACCUUCAUGCCAACAGAAAUAUCAGCUGCCUGAUGGCCAAGAGAUCACCGUUGGGCAGGAGAGCUUCUUCUGCCCCGAGGGAAAAACACCCCUGGCAUCCACACGAAGGCCAUCCAGAGCAUCACUUCCUGCAACCCCGACCUCCAGAAGGUUCUCUUUGGCCACAUGCUACUGUCCGGAGGGACGGGCUCCUGCCCCGGCUUGCGAUUCCGGAUGCAGAGAGAAAUAUCUGAGCUGGUGUCCCCUACAGUUUAUGUGAAGGUGGCCACCUGUCCGUAUUCUGUCUAUGGAGCUUGGGUAGGUGGCUCCAUCUUGUGCUCACUCUCCACGUUCAAGGAUAUGUGGGUCACCAGCAAGGAGUACAAGGAGAUGGGCUCUUCCAUCAUCAGUAGAAAAAGCUUCUGAUGUGUGGCUUUCAGGACCAUGUUGCCUGUGCCUUCGACACCAACUGCAGGAUGAGCCUUGUUGUGGCUGAAUUGAACAGAGCUCAGAACCAGCUCAAGGGCAAAGGCACUUCCUCCCCCAGACUUCAAUAAAGAAGGUCAAUAAA
ensembl:lncRNA ACTE1P actin epsilon 1, pseudogene